rnacentral:rRNA from 1 species
UAGGGAAUCUUCGGCAAUGGGGGGAACCCUGACCGAGCAACGCCGCGUGAGUGAAGAAGGUUUUCGGAUCGUAAAGCUCUGUUGUUAAGGAAGAACGAGUGUGAGAAUGGAAAGUUCAUGCUGUGACGGUACUUAACCAGAAAGGGACGGCUAACUACGUGCCAGCAGCCGCGGUAAUACGUAGGUCCCGAGCGUAGUCCGGAUUUAUUGGGCGUAAAGCGAGCGCAGGCGGUUAGAAAAGUCUGAAGUGAAAGGCAGUGGCUCAACCAUUGUAGGCUUUGGAAACUGUUUAACUUGAGUGCAGAGUGGGAGAGUGGAAUUCCGUGUGUAGCGGUGAAAUGCGUAGAUAUAUGGAGGAACACCGGUGGCGAGAGCUUCUCUCUUGUCUGUAACUGACGCUGAGGCUCGAAAGCGUGGGGAGCGAACAGG